UUUCCACUCCAAAUACUAAAGAAAAUCCCCAAUCUUUGACUCACGCCAAAAUCCCCAAAUCGGCCGCCUGACCUAGCCUCCUCCUCGAGCGCCCUCCGCCACCGCCGCCGCCUACCCUCCGCGGCUGCUAACCGCCCCCGCAACACCCCAAUGCCACCUCCAUCCCCGACCAUGCCACCCCAGUGCCAUCCCCUCCCGGACCACUCCCCCGAGCUCCCUCCGCCGCCCCGACCACUCCCCCGAGCUCCCUCCGCCACCCCGACCACCAUUCACCACCAGCCCUGCCGCUCGCUGGAGAUCCUCCAUCGAGCAGCGCCUUCGCUUCCAGGAGAUCUUGCUCGAGAAGCGCUGCCGCUUCCAGGAGCUGCUACCCCGAGCAGCGUCGCUGUUUCCAGAAGCUCCUUCCUGCGACGUCUUCGUCCCCUCCCCGAAGAGCGCCGACUACAUCCUCUCCCCCGAGCAGAUGCCGCUUCUGCGUUCUUUCACACGAGCAGUGCCGCGUCUACUACAUCGGGGUCUCCUCUACUUCCUCACUCCAACCCGUGAGAUUUCUCUUUGUCUUAUGAGGUUUAUUAGUCUCAGGUAUAUGUUUUGUGAUGUGUGAUAUGUGGACAGAACAAGAGCUAUAGUUUGUGAUAAUUUCUUGAAUCAUUAGAUAGAAACUACUUAAAAUAGAGUUUAAAGAAAUAAGGCGAAGAGAGUAGACUCCAAAAUGAAUGAGAUUUAAUUGAAUCAUCAGAUGGAAAGUGAGGUACUGAAAGCAGAUCGUAACCAUAUGUGUAGGCGUUUCAGAAUUCAAUAUGUUACUUGCAUCUUAGGAUUUAUGGAAUGCAGAUUGCUCUGUACUUUUAUGAGCAAGUCAGUAUUAUUACACACUACAGCCUUUUCAGUUAAAGCUAGACCAAGAAAAGCAAGUGGCAUCUCUGCCUCUAAAUUUUAUUUUCCAUAGUCAAUAAAUUAGAAGGGGCUAGUACCUUUAAUAACAUGAAUGCGGAUUAUGUAAAGCUAGCUAGGCCAUACAUACACUUCCUAUCUCAGUCAUACAUUGGGCAAACUUUUUGUUUGGAUAUGUACUGCACUGGUUGUGCUUUGGAAGUCACUACAGAAAAUUGUAACAAUUGCGAGUUUUGUUCUGAGAAGAUUUGUGAAUAGUUCGCAGUUCUAGGCCAAUUGUUUGGGCUAUCUCAAAAUAUGGCAUUUAGCUUGGAGGAGACCGUAUCAUGUGCAGAAUUCUAGGCCCUCUAUUCUAAUUUCUUCCAUAGUUAAGUUAUUAUUGCAUAGAUGUGAUGUGAACAAGAACUGAUGUAGCAAUCCGACUCACACCCAUGCAUGUACAGCUUCAGGAUAUGAAUGUGAUUAUCCGAGGAUCCAUGUUUCUUAAAUUCUUUCAUUUAUCAUGGUUGUACCGUUGAUUUGGUCCUUCAAUUUGAAUUUUAAAUUAUGUAAUUAGUCUUUGUCUCCUUUGAGAAGCACACCUCCUCCUCGUCCUCUCCACCAAGCAGCGCUGCUUUGACUACGUUGACUGCCCUGGGUAGCACCUCAUCUUCAUCUUCGCGCCUAAGCAGCGUUGCCUAACCUCUAAUUCUUCGCCCAAGCAGCACCGCCUACGCCCUCUGCUUCACCGCCUGAUCAGCCCCGCCUCCUCUCCUUCUCAACCAACAGCAAGCUGCCAAAGAGAAAGAACAAGAUGCCGAGGUCCUGCAGUGGCUACGGUGGGGCGCACUGGUGUAGCCCAUGCGAGCGACACGGGAGUGAGCGACCAGGAACCAAAAGAUGCUGCCAAUAUUUAGUAGUCAGGUCAGCAAACCUGUCUUGGUAGUUCCAUCACCGAAACGAGGUACCAUAUGGAUUUGUUCUCUCUUCUAGUAGAUAAUCUAGAUUGAUAUUAUCUUUCGCGUGAUUUUGUGCUGAUGUAUGAUCCAGAAUUUGGACACAUACCCAUGUGCUAGAAGGAUCUGGUGUAGCUUGUUUAAUCAAUGCUAGACCAGUUUACAUGUACUUCUGAAUUUUUGAUCGGUUGUACUUGCAUAUUGGAAUGAAGGUGCUAAAGUUUAGCAACUCAUACAUUUUACUUCUUUAUUUCUGUAAGUUGUGCCUUUUGGAUUUUGAAAGUUGUCGAUGGUUACAAUUAGAAUUGAAGCAAUGCUACUUUACUCCCUCCGUGAAAGUAAUGCUACUUGUACUGACUUUGUUGGGCGUUGUACUCUUUAGAUAAGUGUUGUAUCUUGCAGAUUGUUAGGAAUAUGGCUUGAAAACUUAUUUCGGGGUAAUUAGAAAAACGAACCGCUAAACUACAUCUCAUAGAUGAACACUGCUAUUUACUGUCUCACCCGAGUGAGUUCCUAAGUAUAAACAUGCUAUGCUUGGCAUGCAGUUUUGGGGAAAAAGGAAGCAUAACAUGUGUACAAAUUGUUUGACCUUGCAUUUUACUACUUAGUAUUUACUAUACAUCCAGAAUUGUACUUGGAAGUGUCAAAAAAUUUCAUUUAUAAUCAUCGAUAGUAAUAUUGCUAUAGAUAUAUA